rnacentral:rRNA from 1 species
AGAGUUUGAUCCUGGCUCAGAACGAACGCUGGCGGCAGGCCUAACACAUGCAAGUCGGACGAGAAGGUUCCUUCGGGAACUGGAGAGUGGCGCACGGGUGAGUAACGCGUGGGGACCUACCUCUUAGUGGGGGAUAACGGUUGGAAACGACCGCUAAUACCGCAUACGCCCUUCGGGGGAAAGAUUUAUCGCUAAGAGAUGGACCCGCGUUGGAUUAGAUAGUUGGUGAGGUAACGGCUCACCAAGUCAGCGAUCCAUAGCUGGUUUGAGAGGAUGAUCAGCCACACUGGGACUGAGACACGGCCCAGACUCCUACGGGAGGCAGCAGUGGGGAAUAUUGGACAAUGGGGGCAACCCUGAUCCAGCCAUGCCGCGUGAGUGAAGAAGGCCUUCGGGUUGUAAAGCUCUUUCAGAUGCGAAGAUGAUGACGGUAACAUCAGAAGAAGCCCCGGCUAAUUUCGUGCCAGCAGCCGCGGUAAUACGAAAGGGGCUAGCGUUGUUCGGAUUUACUGGGCGUAAAGGGCACGCAGGCGGUCUUGCCAGUCAGGGGUGAAAGCCCGGGGCUCAACCCCGGAACUGCCUCUGAUACUGCAAGACUAGAGACUAGGAGAGGGUGGUGGAAUUCCCAGUGUA